CACAGCAUACGGAGGUUCCCAGGCUAGGGGCUGAAUCAGAGCUACUGCUGCAGGCCUACGCCACAGCCACAGCCAGGCCAGAUCUGAGCUGUAUCUGCAACCCACACCACUGCUCACAGCAACGCCGGAUCCUUAACCCACUGAGCGAGGCCAGGGAUCAAACCCGCAACCUCAUGGAUGCUAGUCAGGUUACUGCUGCACCAUGACGGAAACUCUUGUGUUUUCUUUUUUUGUUUUUGGUUCUUUUUUCAUUUUUGGCUACCCUGCAGCAUACGGAGUUCCCAGGCCAGGAAUCAGAGCCUAGUUGAAGACCUAAGCCGCAGCUGCAGCAACACCAGAUUUUUAACCCACUGUGCCAGGCCAGGGAUUGAACCCCCAAGAUGCCACUGAUCCCCUUGUGCCGCAGGGGAACUCCAGCUGGUCUUCUUCGUGCUCCCACAGCUUGCACAGGCAUGGCCCACUGCCUCUCAGGUGACCCUGGAAAUUGAGGGGCUGCCCCAAGCUUUCAGGUCCCCAGGCUGGAGUGAGAGCAUUUAAUCUUCAGUGUGGGUUUCUCGAACCUGUGUCUAUAGCUGCAGACUUUGACGGGUGGGGUGGGCUGUCAGUUUUGGUUUUUUUGGGGGUGGGGUGGGGGCCGCAUCCCUGACAUGUGGAAGUUCCCCAGCCAGGGAUCGAGCUUGAGCUGCAGUAGUGACACCAGAUCUUUAACCUGCCGAGCCACCGGGGAACUCUUGGUAUUUUCCACAUGAAACUUGGGGGUGCAUGAUGGCUUUGGACUUGGGUGGCUUGAAUCUCGUCCCGCGACCCUUGCUCUUCACCUCCCCGCGUCCCAGGUUCCCGGCGGCAAAAUGGAGAGAACACGAACCUUCGGGUCACGAGGCGCAGGGUGAACCUAGAACCAGGCAAGCCCUGGAAGGGCUGGGAAGCCCCUGCCACCUCAGAUGCUGCCAUGAGACCAGACACCUGCCACCCAGGCUGGCACACACAGCCUGGCUCUCAAAACCCAUAGGCACCUGUUGACAUUCUGCCCUUUGCUACAGGUGUGUCUGGAAUGGUCUCCGCCCCAGCUGCACUGCCAAUCCGCACCCUUCCAUGGUGUCGGCUCCCAAUGUCUCACCCUUCCCUCUGUGGGUACAAACGGUUCCCCAUCUCUGACAUCAGCUGGCCACAUCCUCUGUAGUUUCGUUGCGAUCUGCCUUCAAAGUACUGGCUUGCCAGUCUAAACCACCAUGGGGGCAGCACGGAGCCCAGCCUACCCUGUCUGCUUGACCCCUCUCGGUGCCCAGAGCCCCGUGGGUGCCCACCUGUCUGUUCAUGGUGAGGGCGGAGCCCAGGUUGGAGGAGAUGCUGUGAAGACCAUGGGCGGCGUGGGGGGUACCUGCUCCUCCAGCCCGGGGGCCGCCUAGUUCUCAGUCAUCAGAGGCUCUCCAGACUUCUUCACUGCCCCCCCCAAUAAGCUACGCAGCUCAGCCCCCACCUGGCACAAGAAAGGGGGUCGCAGCCCCGUUUGCAGGCCUCACUCUAUGGAUGGGAGGCAGCAGCUGCCACAGAGCUGAGCAUGGCUAGGGAGGGACUGCCACCCACCCUGGCGGGCUUGCCAGUCUGUCCCUGAUGGUACUUUGGCCCCCAAAUGCUCUGCCAGUGCCAAGCAGGUGCUGUUGGGAGUGGGCCCCAGGGAGAGACAGCUAAGCGCAAGAAGCCGGCUUCGGCACAAUUAAACUGUUUUAAUGCAAGAAAAAAAGUCUUGUCUUCAGUUGCUUUUUCUUCCCACAGGUAAGGGUGGUUAAGCCAUUGCACCUUAAACAGUGAAUUUCCGACAAGGAUGUUGCUUCCACCCCCGAUACCCUAUGGAAUAGGGGGCCGAGGCCGGCUGGAGGUAACAAGGCCAGUUCCUGGCCACUAGGGCC
rnacentral:lncRNA from 1 species